AGCUCCGAAGGUUUCUCGGUAUGUUGA
rnacentral:sRNA from 1 species